rnacentral:rRNA from 1 species
AGAUAGUAAGGUGGCGGACGGGUGAGUAACACGUAAAGACUUGCCCUGCAGCCUGGGACAACUACUGGAAACGGUAGCUAAUACCGGAUAUUGCCGCAUGGCGAAAGCUAUAUGCGCUGCAGGAGAGCUUUGCGUCCCAUUAGUUAGUUGGUGAGGUAACGGCUCACCAAGACCGCGAUGGGUAGCCGGCCUGAGAGGGUGAACGGCCACAAGGGGACUGAGACACGGCCCUUACUCCUACGGGAGGCAGCAGUGGGGAAUAUUGGACAAUGGACCAAAGUCUGAUCCAGCAAUUCUGUGUGCACGAUGACGGUCUUAGGAUUGUAAAGUGCUUUCAAUCGGGAAAAAGAAAGUGAUGGUACCGAUAGAAGAAGCGACGGCUAAAUACGUGCCAGCAGCCGCGGUAAUACGUAUGUCGCAAGCGUUAUCCGGAUUUAUUGGGCGUAAAGCGCGUCUAGGCGGUUUGGUAAGUCUGAUGUGGAAAUGCGGGGCUCAACUCCGUAUUGCGUUGGAAACUGCCAGACUAGAGUACUGGAGAGGUGGGCGGAACUACAAGUGUAGAGGUGAAAUUCGUAGAUAUUUGUAGGAAUGCCGAUAGAGAAGUCAGCUCACUGGACAGAUA